rnacentral:lncRNA from 1 species
GGAGAAAGAGAAACUUUCAGUCGAGAAUGGAGAGCUCAAGCAAGACCUAGAUGCUUAUGGGAAUACAGAAGCAGAAUUGAAUCAGAAAUUAGAGGAGAUGAUCAAAGCGAAGGACAACUUGACUCUAGAAGUCACAGACCUAAAGAGUAAGUUGACAGCUACCACUGAAGAAAAGGAAGCUUUCAAUUCGGAACAUCAGACAGCUUUAAGCAGGAUACAAGAAGCAGAGGAGAUCAUUAGAAAUUUGAAGUUAGAAGCUGAAAGAUUAGAUGUGGAGAGAGAGAAAUUUUCGAUUGAGAAUACAGAACUCAAGCAAGACCUAGAUGCUUAUGGCAAUAAAGAAAAAGAAUUGAAUCAGAGAUUGGAGGAGAUUAGCAAAGAGAAGGACAACUUGAAUCUAGAAGUUGCAGACCUGAAGAGUAAGUUGACAGCUAUGACUGAAGAGAAGGAAGCUUUCAAUUUGGAACAUCAGACUGCUUUAAGCAGGAUACAAGAAGCAGAGGAGAUAAUUAGAAAUUUGAAGUUAGAAGCUGAAAGAUUAGAUGCGGAGAAAGAGAAACUUUCAGUCGAGAAUGGAGAGCUCAAGCAAGACCUAGAUGCUUAUGGGAAUACAGAAGCAGAACUGAAUCAGAGAUUGGAGGAGAUGAGCAAAGCGAAGGACAACUUGACUCUGGAAGUCACAGACCUAAAGAGUAAGUUGACAGCUAUCGCUGAAGAAAAGGAAGCUUUCAAUUCGGAACAUCAGACAACUUUAAGCAGGAUACAAGAAGCAGAGGAGAUCAUUAGAAAUUUGAAGUUAGAAGCUGAAAGAUUAGAUGUGGAGAGAGAGAAAUUCUCGAUUGAGAAUAGAGAACUCAAGCAAGACCUAGAUGCUUAUGGCAAUAAAGAAAAAGAAUUGAAUCAGAGAUUGGAGGAGAUUAGCAAAGAGAAGGACAACUUGAAUCUAGAAGUUGCAGACCUGAAGAUUAAGUUGACAGCUACGACUGAAGAAAAGGAAGCUUUCAAUUUGGAACAUCAGACCGCUUUAAGCAGGAUACAAGAAGCAGAGGAGAUAAUUAGAAAUUUGAAGUUAGAAGCUGAAAGAUUAGAUGCGGAGAAAGAGAAACUUUCAGUCGAGAAUGGAGAGCUCAAGCAAGACCUAGAUGCUUAUGGGAAUACAGAAGCAGAAUUGAAUCAGAAAUUAGAGGAGAUGAUCAAAGCGAAGGACAACUUGACUCUAGAAGUCACAGACCUAAAGAGUAAGUUGACAGCUACCACUGAAGAAAAGGAAGCUUUCAAUUCGGAACAUCAGACAGCUUUAAGCAGGAUACAAGAAGGAGAGGAGAUCAUUAGAAAUUUGAAGUUAGAAGCUG